rnacentral:miRNA from 1 species
CACUUCCCGUCCUUCCAUCCC